AGAUUGUUAAGUACCGCAAGUGAGGAAAUAAUUUAAUCAAGCUUUGAAUCAGCUUAAAAUAACACCCAGGUAGCGGGUGAAGUCGACAGCUGUCUGAAGGUCACCAAGGGAGGCAGAGUUGAAGCAGGUCUGAACUCUUCUGCUGAUGGGGAGGAAUGUGGCCAUUCAACAACUCUCUGCUCCGACUUCUUUUUGAGCUAAAAAYGUAUGACUUACAGUUUUAAAAAGUUUUAAAAAGUUUCUCUUCUUCAAUCAGUUUUAUCUUUUCUACUUGACUUUAACAAAAAUUGUUUCUGAGAAAAUCUGUUUUUUUUUUUUCUUCUCAGAUAUGGACGGAUAAAGGCACAAGUGCAGCAAAAAGUGACAAAGUGCAGCUUUUUGUGUGACAUCCACUUGAGAACAUUUUCUCAAGUUAUGACUACACCUGCUCUGACUGUCCAAACCUUUCCACACACAGAACAUUUGUUCCAAAGAUGGAGAACUUUUAUUUUUGAGUACUGUAUUUGAGACAAAGACAUYGUUUAAUGAAUUUUUAAUAUACAUGAA